rnacentral:rRNA from 1 species
GACGAACGCUGGCGGCGUGCUUAACACAUGCAAGUCGAACGGGUCUGCCCUGUUUUUUGCGGGGUGGGUCAGUGGCGAACGGGUGAGUAACACGUGAGUAACCUGCCCCUCACUUCUGGAUAACCGCUUGAAAGGGUGGCUAAUACGGGGUGUUCUGGCUGUGCCGCAUGGUGUGGCUGGGAAAGAUUCACUUUUGUGGUGUUUUGGUGGGGGAUGGGCUCGCGGCCUAUCAGCUUGUUGGUGGGGUGAUGGCCUGCCAAGGCUUUGACGGGUAGCCGGCCUGAGAGGGUGGGCGGUCACACUGGGACUGAGAUACGGCCCAGACUCCUGCGGGAGGCAGCAGUGGGGGGUAUUGCACAAUGGGCGGAAGCCUGAUGCAGCGACGUCGCGUGAGGGAUGGAGGCCUUCGGGUUGUGAACCUCUUUCGCCGGUGAAGAAGGUCCUGCUCUUUGUGGUGGGGCUGACGGUAGCCGGGUUAUGAAGCGCCGGCUAACUACGUG